CCAGCGCGACCGCCUACCCCUCCCGAUCGCGUCACACUCAAGGUUCAAAGAUGGUGUGCGCACUUGUCUGUGGUCAUUUACCAUUAUAAUGAAUGGGAGGCGCAGUUUCUACCAAAAUGCUCGCUGCAGACAAACUCCAUGUCCUUUUUGAAAAAAGUCUGGACCAUGAGUGAGGGCACAAACACAGCUAAGAUAUAUCCAAAUGGCAAGUUGCUCCUCCUUUCGGUUUUGCUGAGAGAGCGAUGCGUUUGAGCCAUUGAGCGAUGGGCAGGAAAAACUUGACUUUUUCUCCGGCCAUGGGGGGCGCUCUUUUGGGGAGAAAAAUUCCUUCACAAAUGUGUUGAUGGCUGGACAUUGCAUCAUCCUAGAAAACUUGGAGGCCAGUGAGGACAAAAAUAAAAAGUUAUAAGACUUUUAAAUAUGUGGAUAUUUGGGUCCUCUUUGGCGCCCCCUAGAACGUAAACCGUGGGGUGCAGCGUCAUGAUUUUUACAACUUUGAAUGGCCAUGGGGUGUAGAUUGGCCUGAGAAAAUUUGGUGUCAGUGGAACGAAAGCCUUAGGAGGAGUUAGCCACAUUCCAAUGUGUGCGAAUCGGCAAAAAAUGCGAAAUAGCCCUUUAAACGUACAUUUUACAGAUACGCGCGCAUUGACUUUUUCGUAGAUCUUAUUGAGAUACACGUGAUUGUCAAAUUUUGUGUCAAUAUGACAAAGCAUAUAGGCGUGACACUCAACAAUGUGUAUUUUCGCCUUAGGGGACAAGAAAAAAUGGACUUUUUUCUCCUGCCAUGGGGGGCGCUCUUUUGGCGAGUAAAAAUUCCUUCACAAAUGUGUUGAUGGCUGGACAUUGCAUCAUCCUAGAGAACUUGGAGGCCAGUGAGGACAAAAAUAAAAAGUUAUAAGACUUUUAAGACUGUGGAUUUUUGGGUUAUCUUUGGCGCCCCCUAGAACCUAAACCGUGGGGUGCAGCGGCAUGAUUUGUACAACUUUUAAUGGCCAUGGGGUGUAGAUUGGCCUGAGCAAAUGUGGUGCCGGUGGAACGAAAGCCUUCGGAGGAGUUAGCGAAAUUCCAAUGUGUGCGGAUCGGCAAAAAAUGCGAAAUAACCCUUUAACCGUACAUUUGACAGAUACGCCCGCGCUGACUUUUUUGUAGAUCUUAUUGAGAUACAUGUGUGUGUCAAUUUUUGUGUCAAUAUGACAAAGCGUACAGGCGUGACAGUCAAUAGUGUGAAUUUUCACCUUAGGGGGCGCUAUGGAGCCAUUUUGCAUUUUAUUGUUUGGGCGACUUCAGAAUAUCGAAUUUUUCACCAGGCCCGGUCGUCCUGCCAAAUUUCAUGAGUUUUCGCCAGUGGGAAGUGGGCCAUUUUUCCCUUCAAAGGGGAGGAAAAAUAAGAAGAAAGAAAGAAAGAAAGAAAGAAAGAAGAAAGAAAAACUCAUCAGGAAUAAUAGGGCUCUACGCCCGGCUGCUCUGCAGCUGGCUCGGGCCCUAAUAACAAAAGAAGGAAACAUGCAGGAACAAGAGGGCUCUCGCAGCUGCUUAGCAGCUACGCUCGGGCCCUAAAGAAAGAAAGAAAGAAACAAAGAAAAACCACUUGGGGAAUAAUAGGGCCUACGCCCGGCUGCUCUGCAGCUGGCUCGGGCCCUAACUAGGACCCCGUUGGGGCACUGGCGGGCCCGAGCCGUGUCGCGUCCCCCCCCCCCAACGUGCUGCCUCCCCGUCCCAUUUGUGUCCUCUGGCCAUCGCCCUCUCUGGUAACGCCCAUCACUGCAAAGACCCUUUUCCUUCAUCGGCGUUUGCUGUUCUUCCUGCCAGUGCGUGUUGCUUUCACUUACACUUGCCACAGCCAGCCUCGUGAGUGCCUAGCCUAUUGGAUAUCACUGUCACCUACACAGGACAGUCAUUACCUUUCUAUUAAUACUUUGUGUUUUAAUUUCACAUUAAUUUCCAUAUUGUAUAAACGACUGGAAAAAACUUGAGCCCCUGCCCCUGUAUAAUCAUGUGCAUGUCUCUGUUCUAGCUCCAAGGUGAAUCUUCACUGCUCAUGUUCUCCUCAGAAGCACUCACCUCACUCCCCUCAGGUUACUGUACACAUGCACCAACUGCCUGCUUCAGGUUUGGAUGGAGCUUCAUGGUUGUCUUUUGGAGAAAUGACCAGUCAAGUUGUGUUUGAAAUUUGAUUUUUUUCAGGGGCAAAAGGAGCCUCUGCAUUCUUGUCAAAUAUGUAAAUAGCAUGUUUUUGCAGGUGCUAAAAACCAGACUCUGAGUGUGUGUGUGUGUGUGUGUGUGUGUGUGUGUGUGUGUGUGUGUGCGUGUGUGUGUCUAUGUGUGCGUUCAAGUCACAUGACAUAUUUAACCGGAUGUAGCUGCAAGACGGAGCCUCGUUGACUCUCCGUUUCAACUUAUCUCAAAAGUGAGGACCUCAACCUAUAUACCAGUUUUUAAAUUGUGUUGAUAGGCCAAAUAAAACCAGAGUUAUGAUAAAUUAUGUCCGCGAUACUUUUUUUCUGCUUAUUUUGAUCACGUUCGGCGCUCGAUCGCGCUGUAUGAGACAGGAAAACAUAGCAUGCAGACAUUAGCGACAGGUCUUACAGGCGGAAAAGGCUUGCCAAAAGAAAAAAAAAAACCACCACAACAUCUCUCCUAUUGGUGGAAAACUUCACCACAACAACCAAUCCAAAAUUAUAUUGUGACUGAUUGACAAGGGGCGGGCGCUUACGUUCUUCCUGCAACAUGAGAAGGGAGGGAGGGACUCUCAGCAGGGAUGCAGUCUGGGACACGUAGUUGCAAACCUAGCGACUUUGUUGUUAGAUUCAAUGACUUUUCAGACACCCUAACGACUUUUUUUUAGAAAGAAAGGGACUUUUAUCGACUUCUUCUGGAGUUUAGAGACUCUGACAUGAAGCAGGCUUUCCUUACUGAGGAGUUAGCAACGCUGCUAAGGGUGCAGAGCCACACAUGCGCUCCGAGCUCUGCAUGGGAGACUGAAGCUGACAGAGCUGCAGCAGUUAGCAGGUUUCACCCUCAGAGACCACCAGGGGUUCAUGUUGAGGCAUUUUAAUUUUUUUUUUUUUUGUGCCAUAGACACUGUCAGCACAAUCUGCAGUUACACUAACAAAAAUGCUGCAAAAAACAAAGAAUUAUGGAAAAAUUACACAUGGACUGACAUAGAGGAGGAUCUACACAAGUUUUUUACAUCAUGUUUUACAUCAUGCAUCAUUUACAUCAUGUUUUUUUGUAGUGGCAUAAAUAAAAAGUGACAUUUGUGAGACUAUACAGUGUUUUGUAAAUAAUUUUACAAAGAACGCCUGGGCCAUUGCCUGCAUUUUGAUGUAAAUAGAGGUAAAUUACUAUGUUCUUUGUUUAAAAUUUGCAUAUGUUUUGAAGUUUACAAUUUUUAUUUGAAGUUUAAGUUUUAAAAACAGUUCAUCACACAUAUUUGUGGUUUAAUUUCACAUUAAUUUCCAUAUUGUAUAAAUGACUGGAAAAAACUUGAGCCCCUGCCCCUGUAUAAUCAUGUGCACGUCCCUGUUCUAGCUCCAAGGUGAAUCUUCACUGCUCAUGUUCUCCUCAGAAAUAGUCACCUCACUCCCCUCAGGUUACUGUACACAUGCACCAACUAUCUGCUUCAGGUUUGAAAUGGAGCUUCAUGGUUGUCUUUUGGAGAAAUGAACAGUCAAGUUGUGUUUGAAAUUUGAUUUUUUUCAGGGGCAAAAGGAAGCCUCUGCAUUCUUGUCAAAUAUGUAAACAGCAUGUUUUUGCAGGUGCUAAAAAACAGACUCUGAGUGUGUGUGUGUGUCUGUGUGUGUGUGUGUGUGUGUGUGUGUGUGUGUAUGUUGGCGUGUGUGUAUAUGUGUGUGUAUCCUGCAGUACUCUGUACUCCUGCAGUGGCCAAAAAGACUUUUAAGAAUGUGGAUUUUUGGGUCAUCUUUGGCGCCCCCUAGAACUGCAGUACUCUGUACUCCUGCAGUGGCCAAAAUGACUUUUAAGAAUGUGGAUAUUUGGGUCAUCUUUGGCGCCCCCUAGAACGUAAACCGUGGGGUGCAGCGUCAUGAUUUUUACAACUUUGAAUGGCCAUGGGGUGUAGAUUGGCCUGAGCAAAUUUGGUGUCAGUGGGACGAAAGCCUUAGGAGGAGUUAGCCACAUUCCAAUGUGUGCUAAUCGGCAAAAAAUGCGAAAUAGCCCUUUAACCGUACAUUUUACAGAUACGCGCGCAUUGACUUUUUCGUAGAUCUUAUUGAGAUACAUGUGUGUGUCAAAUUUUGUGUCAAUAUGACAAAGCAUACAGGUAUGACAGUCAACAAUGUGUAUUUUCACCUUAUGGGACAAGAAAAAAUGGACUUUUUUCUCCUGCCAUGGGGGGGCGCUCUUUUAGGGAGUAAAAAUUCCUUCACAAAUGUGUUGAUGGCUGGACAUUGCAUCAUCCUAGAAAACUUGGAGGCCAGAGAGGACAAAAAUAAAAAGUUAAAAGACUUUUAAAUAUGUGGAUUUUAGGGUUAUCUUUGGCGCCCCCUAGAACCUAAACCGUGGGGUGCAGCGUCAUGAUUUGAAUAACUUUUAAUGGCCAUGGGGUGUAGAUUGGCCUGAGCAAAUGUGGUGCCGGUUGAACGAAAGCCUUCGGAGGAGUUAGCGAAAUUCCAAUGUGUGCGGAUCGGCAAAAAAUGCGCAAUAACCCUUUAACCGUACAUUUGACAGAUACGCGCGCACUGACUUUUUUGUAGAUCUUAUUGAGAUAGAUGUGUGUGUCAAUUUUUGUGUAAUUUUGACAAAGCGUACAGGCGUGACAGUCAAUAGUGUGAAUUUUCACCUUAUGGAACAAGAAAAAAUGGACUUUUUUCUCCUGCCAUGGGGGGGCGCUCUUUUGGGGAGUAAAAAUUCCUUCACAAAUGUGUUGAUGGCUGGACAUUGCAUCAUCCUAGAAAACUUGGAGGCCAGUGAGGGCAAAAAUAAAAAGUUAUAAGACUUUGAAAUAUGUGGAUUUUAGGGUUAUCUUUGGCGCCCCCUAGAACAUAAACCGUGGGGUGCAGCGUCAUGAUUUGAAUAACUUUUAAUGGCCAUGGGGUGUAGAUUGGCCUGAGCAAAUGUGGUGCCGGUGGAACGAAAGCCUUCGGAGGAGUUAGCGAAAUUCCAAUGUGUGCGGAUCGGCAAAAAAUGCGAAAUAACCCUUUAACCGUACAUUUGACAGAUACGCCCGCACUGACUUUUUUGUAGAUCUUAUUGAGAUACAUGUGUGUGUCAAUUUUUGUGUCAUUUUGACAAAGCGUACAGGCGUCAGGUGAAUUUUUCACCUUAGGGGGCGCUAUGGAGCCAUUUUGCAUUGUAUUGUUUGGGCGACUUCAGAAUAUCAAAUUUUUCACCAGGCCCGGUCGUCCUGCCAAAUUUCAUGAGUUUUCGCCAGUGGGAAGUGGGCCAUUUUCCAGUUCAAAGGGGAGGAAAAAUAAUAACUAGGACCCCGUUGGGGCACUGGCGGGCCCGAGCUGUGUCGCGUCCCCCCCCCAACGCGCUGCCUCCCCGUCCCAUUUGUGUCCUCUGGCCAUCGCCCUCUCUGGUAACGCCCAUCACUGCAAAGACCCUUUUCCUUCAUCGGCGUUUGCUGUUCUUCCUGCCAGUGCGUGUUGCUUUCACUUACACUUGCCACAGCCAGCCUCGUGAGUGCCUAGCCUAUUGGAUAUCACUGUCACCUACACAGGACAGUCAUUACCUUUCUAUUAAUACUUUGUGUUUUAAUUUCACAUUAAUUUCCAUAUUGUAUAAACGACUGGAAAAAACUUGAGCCCCUGCCCCUGUAUAAUCAUGUGCAUGUCUCUGUUCUAGCUCCAAGGUGAAUCUUCACUGCUCAUGUUCUCCUCAGAAGCAGUCACCUCACUCCCCUCAGGUUACUGUACACAUGCACCAACUGCCUGCUUCAGGUUUGGAUGGAGCUUCAUGGUUGUCUUUUGGAGAAAUGACCAGUCAAGUUGUGUUUGAAAUUUGAUUUUUUUCAGGGGCAAAAGGAGCCUCUGCAUUCUUGUCAAAUAUGUAAAUAGCAUGUUUUUGCAGGUGCUAAAAACCAGACUCUGAGUGUGUGUGUGUGCGUGUGUGUGUGUGUGUCUGUGUGUGUGUGUGUGUGUGUGUGUGUGUGUGCGUUCAAGUCACAUGACAUAUUUAACCGGAUGUAGCUGCAAGACGGAGCCUCGUUGACUCCGUUUCAACUUAUCUCAAAAGUGAGGACCUCAACCUAUAUACCAGUUUUUAAAUUGUGUUGAUAGGCCAAAUAAAACCAGAGUUAUGAUAAAUUAUGUCCGCGAUACUUGUUUUCUGCUUAUUUUGAUCACGUUCGGCGCUCGAUCGCGCUGUAUGAGACAGGAAAACAUAGCAUGCAGACAUUAGCGACAGGUCUUACAGGCGGAAAAGGCUUGCCAAAGGAAAAAAAAAACACACCACAACAUCUCUCCUAUUGGUGGAAAACUUCACCACAACAACCAAUCCAAAAUUAUAUGGUGACUGAUUGACAAGGGGCGGGCGCUUACGUUCUUCCUGCAAUAUGAGAAGGGAGGGAGGGACUCUCAGCAGGGAUACAGUCUGGGACACGUAGUUGCAAACCUAGCGACUUUGUUGUUAGAUUCAAUGACUUUUCAGACCCCCUAACGACUUUUUUUUUAGAAAGAAAGUGACUUUUAUCGACUUCUUCUGGAGUUUAGAGACUCUGACAUGAAGCAGGCUUUCCCUACUGAGGAGUUAGCAACGCUGCUAAGGGUGCAGAGCCACACAUGCGCUCAGAGCUCUGCAUGGGAGACUGAAGCUGACAGAGCUGCAGCAGUUAGCAGGUUUCACCCUCAGAGACCACCAGGGGUUCAUGUUGAGGCAUUUUCAGUUUUUUUUUUUUUUUUUUGCCAUAGACACUGUCAGCACAAUCUGCAGUUACACUAACAAAAAUGCUGCAAAAAACAAAGAAUUAUGGAAAAAUUACACAUGGACUAACAUAGAGGAGGAUCUACACAAGUUUUUUACAUCAUGUUUUACAUCAUGCAUCAUUUACAUCAUGUUUUUUUGUAGUGGCAUAAAUAAAAAGUGACAUUUGUGAGACUAUACAGUGUUUUGUAAAUAAUUUUACAAAGAACACCUGGGCCAUUGCCUGCAUUUUGAUGUAAAUAGAGGUAAAUUACUAUGUUCUUUGUUAAAAAUUUGCAUAUGUUUUGAAGUUUACAAUUUUUAUUUGAAGUUUAAGUUUUAAAAACAGUUCAUCACACAUAUUUGUGGUUUUCACAGUAAAAACGUUACUUUUUUCCACUCGGAUUUUAUGUUUUGUGUGUGAAUUUGGGUCCAAUGUGUAAAUAUAGUAUGUCAAAAUGAUAAAAUAACUGUAAAUUGACACAGGUGAGGUUGUGCUGAAAAAAAUGAUACCAGGCAAGGCAAGGUAAAAAUUUUGUAAGAGGAAAUAUAAAGGUAAAAUCUAAAGUAGUCAAAAACGGCCAAUAGUGACUCACAGACUCCACAGACAAGUCCCUUUGGCGCCACUCAGUGGGCAAAACUACUUUGUCUACUGUAAUGUAUAUUUGGGUCAUCUUUGGCGCCCCCUAAAACGUAAACCGUGGGGUGCAGCGUCAUGAUUUUUACAACUUUGAAUGGCCAUGGAGUGUAGAUUGGCCUGAGCAAAUUUGGUGUCAGUGGGACGAAAGCCUUAGGAGGAGUUAGCGAAAUUCCAAUGUGUGCGAAUCGGCAAAAAAUGCAAAAUAGCCCUUUUACCGUACAUUAUACAGAUACGCGCUCUUUGACUUUUUCGUAGAUCUAAUUGAGAUACACAUGAUUGUCAAUUUUUGUGUCAUUUUGCCAAAGCGUACAGGCGUGACAGUCAACAAUGUGUAUUUUCACCUUAGGGGACAAGAAAAAAUGGACUUUUUUCUCCUGCCAUGGGGGGGCGCUCUUUUAGGGAGUAAAAAUUCCUUCACAAAUGUGUUGAUGGCUGGACAUUGCAUCAUCCUAGAAAACUUGGAGGCCAGUGAGGACAAAAAUAAAAAGUUAUAAGACUUUUAAAAAUGUGGAUUUUUGGGUUAUCUUUGGCGCCCCCUAGAACGUAAACCGUGGGGUGCAGCGUCAUGAUUUGAAUAACUUUUAAUGGCCAUGGGGUGUAGAUUGGCCUGAGCAAAUGUGGUGCCGGUGGAACGAAAGCCUUCGGAGGAGUUAGCGAAAUUCCAAUGUGUGCGAAUCGGCAAAAAAUGCGGAAUAACCCUUUAACCGUACAUUUGACAGAUACGCGCGCAUGGACUUUUUUGUAGAUCUUAUUGAGAUACAUGUGUGUGUCAAUUUUUGUGUCAUUUUGACAAAGCGUACAGGCGUGACACUCAACAAUGUGUAUUUUCACCUUAGGGGACAAGAAAAAAUGGACUUUUUUCUCCUGCCAUGGGGGGGCGCUCUUUUGGGGAGUAAAAAUUCCUUCACAAAUGUGUUGAUGGCUGGACAUUGCAUCAUCCUAGAAAACUUGGAGGCCAGUGAGGGCAAAAAUAAAAAGUUAUAAGACUUUUAAAUAUGUGGAUUUUAGGGUUAUCUUUGGCGCCCCCUAGAACCUAAACCGUGGGGUGCAGCGUCAUGAUUUGAAUAACUUUUAAUGGCCAUGGGGUGUAGAUUGGCCUGAGCAAAUGUGGUGCCGGUGGAACGAAAGCCUUCAAAGGAGUUAGCGAAAUUCCAAUGUGUGCGGAUCGGCAAAAAAUGCGAAAUAACCCUUUAACCGUACAUUUGACAGAUACGCCCGCACUGACUUUUUUGUAGAUCUUAUUGAGAUACAUGUGUGUGUCAAAUUUUGUGUCAUUUUGACAAAGCGUACAGGCGUGACACUCAAUAGUGUGAAUUUUCACCUUAGGGGGCGCUAUGGAGCCAUUUUGCAUUUUCUUGUUUGGGCGACUUCGGAAUAUCAAAUUUUUCACCAGGCCCGGUCGUCCUGCCAAAUUUCAUGAGUUUUCGCCAGUGGGAAGUGGGCCAUUUUCCAGUUCAAAGGGGAGGAAAAAGAAAAAAGAAACAAAGAAAAACCCCUUGGGGAAUAAUAGGGCUCUCGCAGCUGCUUAGCAGCUACGCUCGGGCCCUAAUAACAAAAGAAGGAAACAUGCAGGAACAAGAGGGCUCUCGCAGCUGCUUAGCAGCUACGCUCGGGCCCUAACUAGGACCCCGUUGGGGCACUGGCGGGCCCGAGCCGUGUCGCGUCUCCCCCCCCCCCCAACGUGCUGCCUCCCCGUCCCAUUUGUGUCCUCUGGCCAUCGCCCUCUCUGUUAACGCCCAUCACUGCAAAGACCCUUUUCCUUCAUCGGCGUUUGCUGUUCUUCCUGCCAGUGCGUGUUGCUUUCACUUACACUUGCCACAGCCAGCCUCGUGAGUGCCUAGCCUAUUGGAUAUCACUGUCACCUACACAGGACAGUCAUUACCUUUCUAUUAAUACUUUGUGUUUUAAUUUCACAUUAAUUUCCAUAUUGUAUAAACGACUGGAAAAAACUUGAGCCCCUGCCCCUGUAUAAUCAUGUGCACGUCUCUGUUCUAGCUCUAAGGUAAAUCUUCACUGCUCAUGUUCUCCUCAGAAGCACUCACCUCACUCCCCUCAGGUUACUGUACACAUGCACCAACUGCCUGCUUCAGGUUUGGAUGGAGCUUCAUGGUUGUCUUUUGGAGAAAUGACCAGUCAAGUUGUGUUUGAAAUUUGAUUUUUUUCAGGGGCAAAAGGAGCCUCUGCAUUCUUGUCACAUAUGUAAAUAGCAUGUUUUUGCAGGUGCUACAAACCAGACUCUGAGUGUGUGUGUGUGCGCGUGUGUGUGUGUCUGAAUGUGUGUGUGUGUGUGCGUUCAAGUCACAUGACAUAUUUAACCGGAUGUAGCUGCAAGACGGAGCCUCGUUGACUCUCCGUUUCAAUUUAUCUCAAAAGUGAGGACCUCAACCUAUAUACCAGUUUUUAAAUUGUGUUGAUAGGCCAAAUAAAACCAGAGUUAUGAUAAAUUAUGUCCGCGAUACUUGUUUUCUGCUUAUUUUGAUCACGUUCGGCGCUCGAUCGCGCUGUAUGAGACAGGAAAACAUAGCAUGCAGACAUUAGCGACAGGUCUUACAGGCGGAAAAGGCUUGCCAAAGGAAAAAAAAUACACACCACAACAUCUCUCCUAUUGGUGGAAAACUUCACCACACCAACCAAUCCAAAAUUAUAUGGUGACUGAUUGACAAGGGGCGGGAACUUACGUUCUUCCUGCAAUAUGAGAAGGGAGGGAGGGACUCUCAGCAGGGAUGCAGUCUGGGACACGUAGUUGCAAACCUAGCGACUUUGUUGUUAGAUUCAAUGACUUUUCAGACCCCCUAACGACUUUUUUUUAGAAAGAAAGUGACUUUUAUCGACUUCUUCUGGAGUUUAGAGACUCUGACAUGAAGCAGGCUUUCCUUACUGAGGAGUUAGCAACGCUGCUAAGGGUGCAGAGCCACACAUGCGCUCCGAGCUCUGCAUGGGAGACUGAAGCUGACAGAGCUGCAGCAGUUAGCAGGUUUCACCCUCAGAGACCACCAGGGGUUCAUGUUGAGGCAUUUUCAGUUUUUUUUUUUUUUUUUUUGCCAUAGACACUGUCAGCACAAUCUGCAGUUACACUAACAAAAAUGCUGCAAAAAACAAAGAAUUAUGGAAAAAUUACACAUGGACUAACAUAGAGGAGGAUCUACACAAGUUUUUUACAUCAUGUUUUACAUCAUGCAUCAUUUACAUCAUGUUUUUUUGUAGUGGCAUAAAUAAAAAGUGACAUUUGUGAGACUAUACAGUGUUUUGUAAAUAAUUUUACAAAGAACACCUGGGCCAUUGCCUGCAUUUUGAUGUCAAUAGAGGUAAAUUACUAUGUUCUUUGUUAAAAAUUUGCAUAUGUUUUGAAGUUUACAAUUUUUAUUUGAAGUUUAAGUUUUAAAAACAGUUCAUCACACAUAUUUGUGGUUUUCACAGUAAAAACGUUACUUUUUUCCACUCGGAUUUUAUGUUUUGUGUGUGAAUUUGGGUCCAAUGUGUAAAUAUAGUAUGUCAAAAUGAUAAAAUAACUGUAAAUUGACACAGGUGAGGUUGUGCUGAAAAAAAUGAUACCAGGCAAGGCAAGGUAAAAAUUUUGUAAGAGGAAAUAUAAAGGUAAAAUCUAAAGUAGUCAAAAACGGCCAAUAGUGACUCACAGACUCCACAGACAAGUCCCUUUGGCGCCACUCAGUGGGCAAAACUACUUUGUCUACUGUAAUGUAUAUUUGGGUCAUCUUUGGCGCCCCCUAAAACGUAAACCGUGGGGUGCAGCGUCAUGAUUUUUACAACUUUGAAUGGCCAUGGAGUGUAGAUUGGCCUGAGCAAAUUUGGUGUCAGUGGGACGAAAGCCUUAGGAGGAGUUAGCGAAAUUCCAAUGUGUGCGAAUCGGCAAAAAAUGCAAAAUAGCCCUUUUACCGUACAUUAUACAGAUACGCGCUCUUUGACUUUUUCGUAGAUCUAAUUGAGAUACACAUGAUUGUCAAUUUUUGUGUCAUUUUGCCAAAGCGUACAGGCGUGACAGUCAACAAUGUGUAUUUUCACCUUAGGGGACAAGAAAAAAUGGACUUUUUUCUCCUGCCAUGGGGGGGCGCUCUUUCAGGGAGUAAAAAUUCCUUCACAAAUGUGUUGAUGGCUGGACAUAGCAUCAUCCUAGAAAACUUGGAGGCCAGUGAGGACAAAAAUAAAAAGUUAUAAGACUUUUAAAAAUGUGGAUUUUUGGGUUAUCUUUGGCGCCCCCUAGAACGUAAACCGUGGGGUGCAGCGUCAUGAUUUGAAUAACUUUUAAUGGCCAUGGGGUGUAGAUUGGCCUGAGCAAAUGUGGUGCCGGUGGAACGAAAGCCUUCGGAGGAGUUAGCGAAAUUCCAAUGUGUGCGGAUCGGCAAAAAAUGCGAAAUAACCCUUUAACCGUACAUUUGACAGAUACGCCCGCACUGACUUUUUUGUAGAUCUUAUUGAGAUACAUGUGUGUGUCAAUUUUUGUGUCAUUUUGACAAAGCGUACAGGCGUGACAGUCAAUAGUGUGAAUUUUCACCUUAGGGGGCGCUAUGGAGCCAUUUUGCAUUUUCUUGUUUGGGCGACUUCGGAAUAUCAAAUUUUUCACCAGGCCCGGUCGUCCUGCCAAAUUUCAUGAGUUUUCGCCAGUGGGAAGUGGGCCAUUUUCCAGUUCAAAGGGGAGGAAAAAGAAACUAGGGCCCCGUUGGGGCACUGGCGGGCCCGAGCCGUGUCGCGCCGCCCCCAGCGCGACCGCCUACCCCUCCCGAUGGCGUCACACUCAAGGUCCAAAGAUGGUGUGCGCACUUGUCUGUGGUCAUUUACCAUUAUAAUGAAUGGGAGGCGCAGUUUCUACCAAAACGCUCGCUGCAGACAAACUCCAUGUCCUUUUUGAAAAAAGUCUGGACCAUGAGUGAGGGCACAAACACAGCUAGUAUAUAUCCAAAUGGCAAGUUUCUCCUCCUUUCGGUUUUGCCGAGAGAGCGAUGCGUUUGAGCCAUUGAGCGAUGGGCAGGA